rnacentral:rRNA from 1 species
GCGCAGCAGGCGCGAAUACUUUACAAUGUGCGAAAGCACGAUAAGGGAACUCUGAGUGCCUCCUAAGGAGGCUGUUCUGAUGUCUAAAAGCAACAGAAGUAAGGGCUGGGUAAGACCGGUGCCAGCCGCCGCGGUAACACCGGCAGCCCAAGUGGUAGCCACGUUUAUUGGGUCUAAAGCGUUCGUAGCCGGCCAGGUAAGUUCCUUGGUAAAAUUUAGCCGCUUAACGGUUAAGCUUUCAGGGAAUACUGCUUGGCUUGGGACUGGGAGAGGUCAGAGGUACUCCGAGGGUAGGGUGAAAUCUAUUAAUCCCUGGGGACCACCGGUAGCGAAGGCGUCUGACCAGACCAGGUCCGACGGUGAGGGACGAAGGCUAGGGGCGCGAACCGGAUUAGAUA